rnacentral:rRNA from 1 species
CCUACGGGAGGCAGCAGUGAGGAAUAUUGGUCAAUGGACGAGAGUCUGAACCAGCCAAGUAGCGUGAAGGAUGACUGCCCUAUGGGUUGUCACCUUCUUUUAUAUGGGAAUAAAAUGUUCCACGUGUGGGAUUUUGUAUGUACCAUAUGAAUAAGGAUCGGCUAACUCCGUGCCAGCAGCCGCGGUAAUACGGAGGAUCCGAGCGUUAUCCGGAUUUAUGGGGUUUAAGGGGAGCGUAGGUGGAUUGUUAAGUCAGUUGUGAAAGUUUGCGGCUCAACCGUAAAAUUGCAGUUGAAACUGGCAGUCUUGAGUACAGUAGAGGUGGGCGGAAUUCGUGGUGUAGCGGUGAAAUGCUUAGAUAUCACGAAGAACUCCGAUUGCGAAGGCAGCUCACUGGACUGCAACUGACACUGAGGCUCGAAAGUGUGGGUAUCAAACAGGAUUAGAUACCCCUGUAGUC